AAGAAACGAGAAUUGCGAAACAAUACUCCGCGUUUAUUGACUGUACCGCAAAAGAGGGAUAGGAUUGCCGAAACAUCAAAGUUCGGCGGCGAGUUGGGCGGGAGUGCUAGGCGCGAAACCAAGUCGUAAAACUCUCUUUAAUAUCUCCGUUCUGGAAACUUUCUUGGAAUCAAGUGACUCGAGCGAACCCGAGGGAGAUUCGCCGGAAACGGAGCGACUGAUUGCUGUCAAAUGAAGGAAACGCGGGGUGAAUGAUCAAACGCGGAAGUGACAGUACAAUUUUACCCUAUAUUGGCAAUUUUACAAUUCAGAUGUAAAUCUUCGAGAAGUUUACUAUUAAUUGCAAAUAACACGAACCAACACAAACUUACUAUAUUUUAUAUAUACAUAUAUAUUGUUUCCGUGUUACGAUUCUUGAAUUUUUUUUUUUUUUUUCGCUUCAUCUCGCCGAUUCUCCAUUUCUCCCCUUCUAUCCAAUCUCUCUCUCACUCGCUUUCUCUGCCUAUCUAUCUGUUCAUUAUGUACAGUCUACAUAUACGUGUGACCCUCAAUUGAAAUCGCUCAACACUACUUUUCGUUACAUAAUAAUUCAGAAACGCUCGCACGGAAUUUAUAUGGUUGUUUCCUGCGCGAUCUCGAUCUCAAUUUCAGACCUGAAUUCGCGCGUGGAAUAUUAUCGCUAUGAUCCACCAUGCUUGUCGAAGUGAGCCACGAUAUCAUAGGAGAAAGUGUAUAGUUUUUCGAGAAGACAUCGAACGGUAACAUUGGAAUAAAGUUUCGUAUUUCGUCGCUGAUGAUCUCACCUCUCUUCAUUUCGAUAGAAAAUAAACGGCGGCGCUCGAACGAGACGUAAUAAAUGUCCGAAUCGAUUUUUAAAAUGAAAAUGACCGUGGAACACGCAUCUUCUGUACCGAAACUUUACGAUUUUUUAACAUGAUUUACGUUACUCGGAAAAUACAAACCAUUCCAUGUUCCACGAAGCAGAUCACGUACGAUCGAAAGUAGAAAAACGAAAUCAUCAUUGGUGUCUUUUCAGGAAAAGACACGUUCUGUGUAAAAUGGUGAGAUUGUUCCAUCUCUUUUAUCCAAUUGUUACAUAUCAACAAUGAAUACACUGACAACAAUAUCAUGGAUUUUUUAGCAAUAUCAAGUACCUCUAAUGUUUCGAUGAUCCAUCUGUACGAUGCCCGUGUGCCGUUUAUCGACCAUUUUGAAAGAUGUCCCGUAUCGCAUCCAAUCGAGAGUCCUGUCGACACAUCGAUUCAACAAUCGAUCGAUAACAAAAGCGACUAACUUCAGAUUUCAGACUGGUCCUUCGAUAAUAUUGGUGAAUCGUCGACAAAAGUCAUCUUGCUGACGCACCGUUGCCUACUCGAGGACAGAGAAUCGCGUCACCGUGAAAUUCUUUCCACGUAUGCAUCAAACGAGAGGCGCGACUUAAUCGGGUUUAAUCGUCGAUUGCACGGACAACCAGACGGAAUGCGCUCCCACGUUUUUUAAAAGGAAGAAAGGAAAGAAAACAGACGGUACGUGAGCUGUACUCGCUUAUUCGCACUGACUGCGAUAUAUGUAUAGCGAUCCUUCUCAUCUCUCUUCCAUUUACAUAUAUGCACAUAUAUUCAUGUGAACAUGGAAAGACAAAUGAGAGAGAAAGAGAGACGAGGUGAUUGAUCAUUUUUCUAUCUCAUAUCAUUUUAGCCAAUUUUAUCAUCAUACUAUAUCGAAAUAAAAAGAAAAUUUGCAACAGAUGGAUUCGAAAAUGUGAAAGUAUUUCGAAACAUUGAAUUUUGUUCACCGUGUAGGAACAAAGCAAACUUGUUAACGAAUUAUUCGAUUGAUAGACAAAAUCCGAAUAUUAUCGAGUGUUAACGCGACGAAGAGUGUUUUAUUGUGAGUUAUAAGAAAUUUUUGAUUAUUGCAUCAACGUUGAUAACAAAUUUCUCUUAUAAAUUAAUUAAAUAAAAUCGUUUGAUGCGAAUCGUAAUAUCGAAUACGAAUCCUUUGUCACUUAUCUUGAAACAACUUGUACAGUUGUAUAAAAAUAACAAGGUCAUCAAAAAAUGAUCGCAUCUCGCAAGUUCUAUGAGUGCAUUCAGAAAACAUGAUUCGACGAGAAUUGACACGGUAUUACGAACUUACGUAAUUGCCCCUACUACAAGUCAUGCUUUUCUCUUGACGAAAAAAAUGCGUUGUUGCGAAAUCUGUGUCAUUCAUUUUCUACAUAAAUAUCCCUUGUUGUAUCGAUUGUGUUACGUAAACAUUGAUUAACCUAGGUAUCAUGGAGAAAUAUUCUCGAUAAAGUGUACAAUUCUGUAAUCCAAAUGGAACAUUUUUAUCAAAUUCCACCGAUCUGAACAAAAUGGUACAAUUCUGUUUCCUUUGGAUUUAAUAUUUAAAUGUACGAAAAAAUUAACCUUUAUAUAUAAUACCAAAUAAAAUUCUUGUUCUCAAAUAAAUAAAAAACAAAUAAUAACGCACAAAUAUUUCAAUUAACAAAACACAAUUUAUUCUUUGAAUCUUUUUUUUUUCGUUUUUACAUUUGUAGUGAAUGAUUAUUCAAGGAAAAAAUAAAUAAAUAAGUCAUAUUAGAGAUAACGCGAAAAUUCGUAUUCAGAGAAAAAAGAUAAAAAAAAAAAUGUUAUAGUACAAAUCUAUUGACUAAUCUAUCAAUUUAUCUCUCAUAAAUAUCUAUCUAUUUUUACUAGAUAGAGCAACAAUGGGAAGAAUAAUUUCGUAGCAUUACAACAAUUCGAUCGAUGUAUAUGCGUGACAAACAAGAAUGUAAUUUCCUCGAGUAGCAAUCAUGAAUUAGAAACGUAUUCCCGUGUAAAUCGUAGCACGAAAUCAAACAUUAGUUAAUGAUCAAGUAUUUUCCAGGUAUGAUGAUUAUUUAAUCGAAAAACGACAUCGACGGUAUAUAUAGAGUCAGAUAACGGAAUGAAAUCGAAUUUCCGGACGGUAUCGCACGCGUACUAUGCGAUCUUGAUCGAUCGAAAAAAACUGCAAGAGAGAGAGAGAUUCCCUAACGCAACGCCGAGAAAUGGAAAACUUAAUGCAAAGCGAAACGAAACGAAACGAACCGCGAAGCAAAUACAUUUCGUUCAAGUUACAAAAGGAUCUGCCUUUCUCGAUGAUAGACUUUCCCUCUCUUCCUCGAAUAUCCUUGAACGCGCGACAACAUGGCUAGGAUUACUAUUAAUAAAAUCGUUACGAGCUGCGCGCCGAGCUACAAUCGAUUUCGAUAUGCGAUUUAUUUCGCGCAGGCUGUUUCGAACGCGUAUCCUGAUUAGAUUAUCGAUAUUUAUCCUAUCAUCGAGCAUAACAUUCAAUGAAUUAAUAAACAGUAUAUAUAUAAAACAUAUGCGAAAAAGAAUUAUUACAUCACAAGUAUUAUAUUCUUAUAUUAUCUCACAUUAUCAAUUCUAAUUAUUAUUAACACGUCAUGUAUUUAUUCUCUAAAUCCUAUCGCGAUAUCAUUUCUAACAACAUUUUUUUAAAACAUGUAGAAUUAUAAAUAUCGCGUAUAAUAUAUGUAAGUGAUAUAUCCACUUGUUAAAAAUACUAUUGAUGAUAGGUCAUGUAAAUAUACUGAGAAUAUAUACGUGCUUCUAGUACACCGAUUAUUAAACGAAAAAUAAAAUGAUUGUAGCCACAAAGAAAAUACUCGUGUAAAAGGAUAGAUCCUAUAGCAACGUGACUCACACGUGAGUUUCAUUCACAGCACCCAUUUCAAUCGAAACAGAUGUUGCAUACGUUUAUCACUGCUUAUUUUAACCGGAAACGCAAAAAAUAACAAAAAAAAAAAAAAAAUUUUGU